rnacentral:rRNA from 1 species
UACGAAGGGUGCAAGCGUUACUCGGAAUUACUGGGCGUAAAGCGUGCGUAGGUGGUUUGUUAAGUCUGUUGUGAAAGCCCCGGGCUCAACCUGGGAAUGGCAAUGGAUACUGGCAGGCUAGAGUGCGGUAGAGGGUAGUGGAAUUCCUGGUGUAGCGGUGAAAUGCGCAGAUAUCAGGAAGAACACCCGUGGCGAAGGCGGCUCUCUGGGACGGUACUGACGCUGAGACGCGAAAGCGUGGGGAGCGAACAGG